AGAAUCAGCCCAGACUCAGGUUUUUAAAGGUAAAAGAGUCCAACAAACACAGGUUUUUAAGGAAUUAUUAGACAGGCCUUACCUAAACCAAGGAGCAAGCUGCUUUCCUGCUUCCUCUCCUCACCUCUGCGUGAACUCUGGCUCAGAAAGCUUCAACAGGAAGCCAACACUUUCAAUAACAAUAGCCUUGCCUCACCUUCCAAACAAUGGCAGAACAGCAAGCCUUAAUUACAGCUAGCCCACACUCAAGAAUCAGCCCAGACUCAGGUUUUUAAGGAAUUAUUAGACAGGCCUUACCUAAACCAAGGAGCAAGCUGCUUUCCUGCUUCCUCUCCUCACCUCUGCGUGAACUCUGGCUCAGAAAGCUUCAACAGGAAGCCAACACUUUCAAUAACAAUAGCCUUGCCUCACCUUCCAAACAAUGGCAGAACAGCAAGCCUUAAUUACAGCUAGCCCACACUCAAGAAUCAGCCCAGACUCAGGUUUUUAAAGGUAAAAGAGUCCAGAGAUUUCCCUACUUGACAGAUGCAACUGUCUUUCGGGGCUGCAUAGGUCAACAGCAAGUCGGGCUAUUUAAUGGUCGAGGGCUUAACCCGACCUGGGCCUCGAACUCAUGACCUCUCGGUCAGUAGUGAUUUAUUGCAGCUGGUUACUAGCCAGCUGCGCCACAGCCCAGCCCUAGCUCUGUAAAGCAUAGGAAACAGGAGACUCUGGGUGCAUCCAGACAGCCCCAUUAAUGCGGGACUUCUCAAAAUAAAAAGGUGGCUGUCUAGAUGACGUCCAUAAAAAACACAAAUUAAUUCGCCACAAACCAGGAAAACCCUAGCAAAUUAAUUUGAUAGCAGAUUUAUUUAUUUAUUUUAUUUAUUAUUUACAGUAUUUAUAUUCCGCCCUUCUCACCCCGAAGGGGACUCAGGGCGGAUCACAUUAUAACACACAUAAGGCAAACAUUCAAUGCCCAUAAACACAUCAAACAGAGACUGAGAGACACACGCAGAGGCAAGUUAACCUUCUUCUGAGGGGAUGUUCGAUUCUGGCCACAGGGGGGAGCAGCUGCUUCAUCAUCCACACUGAUGGCACUUCCUCAUUCCAGGUCGUAAAUUAGUUAAUCUUGCCUCCCCACUUUUUAUAAGUGGUACCUUAUCUCCUACUUGAUAGAUGCAACUAUCUUUCGGGUUGCUAGGUCAGCAACGAGCAGGGGCUAUUUUUUAUUUUUAAUUGACGGGUGCUCACCCCGCCACGGGCUGGCCUCGAACUCAUGACCUCUUGGUCAGA
rnacentral:lncRNA from 1 species